UGCCAACACAAAACGUGUACAGCAGACUGAACUCAUUUCACAGUGUAAAAUAAUGCAGAUAUAGUUCAAUCUUCUCUAUGUGAUGCCUUUCAAAGGGUGAAGGCAUGUGUGGAGCAGAUGUCAUGAACUGACAGUCGGUGGUGACGGGACUGGCUCUGGAGUUGCUGGCUGUGGCUGGAAACUAUAGUCUUCACCAUUCAGACUUUUCCGACAGACAGGACAGGUGUCGUGCUGUUAACACAAAACAUUGCAAAGUGAGGACAAAAAGUUUAAGACCGUAAUAAGGAAUUUUUCUACCAUCAGAGCAUUUCAAGCUUGAAGUAUAACCUUCAAAUUUGUACUAGUCUCCGUCAGCAGAAGGCAGUAAAUGCAACUCCAGCUCUACAGGCAACGCGCAGCUGUACAGACGUCAAGAAACCACAGCUCAAUAUGAGGAUUUGUUCUUGUGUUCAAAUAGUUGGUAUGCAACUCAGAAUGCAGAGGUCUAAAGAUAUAGGGUUUUUUUUUUUUUCUAAGUUUCAUUUACAUUUAACUUGACACAGUGUCUAAAAAGCACUGUUUAUGACGUGAUAUCCAAAGUGAGAUGCUUCAAAGGGUCUGUAUGACGCAUGUACAUUGACACGUCCUUAGAAAAGUCCCUAUAAUAAGUCUAUCUUGGACAGAUUGACAAAUUCAAUUUUAAAAUGGAUUGCGGUGGACUGUAGGCCAAUGAUAGGCUAGUUCAAUGAUAUGGAAAUAAACAAUAUAUUGCAUUCUAAAGCAACUUUUUCUGUUGUUUAAUUAAUGCUUAUCUGUAAUGUAGCUAAUGUUUAGUUUAAUUCUUUAUUAUAUUUAUACUAUAUUACAUUUAUAAUAAUAUUUAUUUAUCAUUAUAUACUUAAUAAUUUUAU